AUUAAAAUAGACUAGAGUAGUAAAAUUAAAUCUUUAUUUCAGAGAGCUAGUGGAAGGUGUGAACUAGUAUAAAGCUAAUUUGAACUUGCUAGAUAAAAUCUAUUUGACCGUGGUUGGUAUAAAGACUAGUACAAGAGGGUUAUUUAUAAAAUAACCAAUUAGGGUGGUACCGCGAGUAAUAUCCUCGUCCCUAAA
rnacentral:ncRNA from 1 species